rnacentral:rRNA from 1 species
AUUGAACGCUGGCGGCAGGCCUAACACAUGCAAGUCGAACGGUAACAGAAAGCAGCUUGCUGCUUUGCUGACGAGUGGCGGACGGGUGAGUAAUGUCUGUGAAACUGCUUGAUGGAGGGGGAUAACUACUGGAAACGGUAGCUAAAACCGCAUAUCGUCUCAAGACCAAAGAGGGGGACCUUCGGGCCUCCUGCCUUUGGCUGUGCCCAGAUGGGAUUAGCUAGUAGGUGGGGUAACGGCUCACCUAGGCGACGAUCCAUAGCUGGUCUGAGAGGAUGACCAGCCACACUGGAACUGAGACACGGUCCAGACUCCUACGGGAGGCAGCAGUGGGGAAUAUUGCGCAAUGGGCGCAAGCCUGAUGCAGCCAUGCCGCGUGUAUGAAGAAGGCCUUCGGGUUGUAAAGUACUUUCAGCGGGGAGGAAGGGAGUAGAGUUAAUACCUUUACUCAUUGACGUUACCCGCAGAAGAAGCACCGGCUAACUCCGUG